rnacentral:hammerhead_ribozyme from 1 species
AUUCAGCUGACGAGUCUCAAAUAGGACGAAACGUGCUUCCUGGAU